AAGGAUGGAAGCUACCGUACUCCCAAGCUAGAGUCUGCCGUUGUUGCUAGCUAGAAUUGCUUCCCGACCCCAAGCUCCUCGGGUCCCCGCACUUUGUUCUCCGGGAUCCGACUCACCCAAGUUGUAGAGCAGAAAGAGGCCCUGAAAGGCAGCCUGGCGGGGGUGCGGGGCCUUGCCCCGCGCGUAGCAGCGCCGCAGCGAACCGAAGCCUUCUUGCACUUGAGUCUGAAGCAGCACAGGGUCCGCCACUCCGCGCGUCUCUUCAGGCCGCAUCCGCGCCACCACGACCAGCAGCGUGGCCAGCGCGGGCUCCAGCACCGCCGCCGCUUCCGCGUCGUCCACGCCCUGCAGCGACAGAUCCAACCGCACCGCCCGCAGGCGGUCGGCCACGAAGCUCGCCACCUCCGCGCACGACACGUCGGUGCGGUCGGCCACCUCACCCGCCAAGUAGCGCACGGUGGCCAGGAGCACUGGGGGCGGCCG
rnacentral:lncRNA from 1 species